CUGAUUUCAUUUUUUCCAGAUCCUCUUUUGUUGCCAGUUCAGGGAGUCCAGGUGGUUGAGUAUCAGAUUCUUCCAUUUCGUUUCCCUUUGGGAUUGCUGUAGGUGAUCUGGAAGUCUGUGUUUGAGGCUUGUUUAUAUGUCUUCUCAUUUCCACGGGGGGACGGGGGUUGCUUCUGGCAGCUGCGGCUCACCUCCUCUGCCCUGGGAGCAGUGGAAUGGUGGCCGGGGAGCCUCCUCCUGGGCACUGGGAUUGGCUUACCUCCUCUCUGGGAGGCCUCUUAAACAUGUUCAGAGUCCACAGUGUUUCCAAAGGAGAUCUUCAUACCUAUUUGGAUUCAUUUAAUAAAGAGCAGAUAGUUACUGAAUGAGGAAAAUCGAGUUUCUUCUCAAGCUGCCUGCAUUAUAUUCAACCCAUUGAAGUACAAAGUACUACAGCUGACGAGUCUGAGGUGCACCUCCUGCAACAGAGAGGCAGCAGCAAAACGGCCACGUCCAGGGGAGCAGAACCAGCACCCGGCAGUCUGGGGCAGUGUCUUCCUGUCCCAUUACUGUGAGUCUCAUGGAUGCUCUUGAAUUUCCAUUCAAUUCCCACCAGUGCUACCUCAUGUCUAAAGUGUUCCGGUGACCUAGCUAGCACAUCAUUCUUAUAGGAUAUUUUGGUUUUUUAUACUAUUACUCUCCAUUAAUGCCAGAUACUGACCAGGUCUUUUGCAAAUUUUUUUGCUUUUUUAAUUGUUUUUGAGUUACAAUAUAUGAGGAAAAUGCAAAAAAAAAAAGGUGAAUAUAAAAGAAAAGAAAACACAGGUCAAUCCCCUACUCUAAUCUAUUAGUCUAUUUUUCUUAGUCCUUUUCUACAUACUUUCGCACAGUUGAAAUCAUUUAACAUUAGCAUAUGAUGUUUUUUCUUUAGUCUCAUAUCGUACAAUAUUUCCAAAGUUUAAAAAGUCAAAAUAUAUGGCAUAUUCCAUCACAAUGCAUUGAUUGCUUAUUCAGUUAUUCUCCUAAAAGAGGGGGCUUCCUCGUUUUUUCUCUGCAAGGGAGGAGGAAGUGUUUAGGCAUGUGCAAUAGGAAAGGAAGCAAAGAUUGGGCCAAGGGACGCAAAGAGGGUGGGGACGAGAGAGCGGGGGUCAAGUUGCAGC
rnacentral:lncRNA from 1 species